GUGCUUGGUUCGGCAGCACAUACACUAACAUUGGAACGAUACAGAGAAGAUUAGCAUAGCCCCUACGCAAGGAUGGCGCAUUCCAUAUUUUU
rnacentral:snRNA from 1 species